rnacentral:tRNA from 1 species
GGGGAUAUAGCUCAGUUGGUAGAGUGCCUGUCUCGCAGACACAGGCCCUGGGUUCAAUCACCAGCACCACA